GACGAACGCUGGCGGCGUGCCUAAUACAUGCAAGUAGAACGCUGAAGGAGGAGCUUGCUUCUCCGGAUGAGUUGCGAACGGGUGAGUAACGCGUAGGUAACCUGCCUGGUAGCGGGGGAUAACUAUUGGAAACGAUAGCUAAUACCGCAUAAGAGUAGAUGUUGCAUGACAUUUGCUUAAAAGGUGCAAUUGCAUCACUACCAGAUGGACCUGCGUUGUAUUAGCUAGUUGGUGAGGUAACGGCUCACCAAGGCGACGAUACAUAGCCGACCUGAGAGGGUGAUCGGCCACACUGGGACUGAGACACGGCCCAGACUCCUACGGGAGGCAGCAGUAGGGAAUCUUCGGCGAUGGACGGAAGUCUGACCGAGCAACGCCGCGUGAGUGAAGAAGGUUUUCGGAUCGUAAAGCUCUGUUGUAAGAGAAGAACGAGUGUGAGAGUGGAAAGUUCACACUGUGACGGUAUCUUACCAGAAAGGGACGGCUAACUACGUG
rnacentral:rRNA from 1 species